AUUGAAGAACAUGACUAUCAGACCAAGUUCCGUAAUGUGGUCAAGUUUCUGAAUGAAGGCGACAAGGUAAAAUGCUCCGUCCGCUUCCGCGGACGCGAAAUUACCCAUGCGAAUAUCGGUCAGAAAAUUCUGGAGCGCGUCAAAUUGGAAGUGGCCGAGAUUUCCGUUGUGGAGCGCCAGCCUAAGCUGGAAGGCCGCAGCAUGAUUAUGAUUUUGGCACCCAAACCAUCUUAACAAGCAGCAUAACUAUUGAGGAGGAAACACAAUGCCUAAAAUGAAAACUCACAGCAGCCUGAAAGGCCGCUU
rnacentral:misc_RNA from 1 species